GUUAGUUGGCGGUGUAACGGACCACCAAGACGACGAUGCGUAGGGGUUCUGAGAGGAAGGUCCCCCACACUGGUACUGAGACACGGACCAGACUCCUACGGGAGGCAGCAGUGAGGAAUAUUGGUCAAUGGGCGGGAGCCUGAACCAGCCAAGUCGCGUGAGGGAUGACGGCCCUAUGGGUUGUAAACCUCUUUUGCCGGGGAGCAAAGUGCCGCACGUGUGCGGUUUGGAGAGUACCCGGAGAAAAAGCAUCGGCUAACUCCGUGCCAGCAGCCGCGGUAAUACGGAGGAUGCGAGCGUUAUCCGGAUUUAUUGGGUUUAAAGGGUGCGUAGGCGGACGCUUAAGUCAGCGGUAAAAUUGCGGGGCUCAACCUCGUCGAGCCGUUGAAACUGGGUGCCUUGAGUGGGCGAGAAGUACGCGGAAUGCGUGGUGUAGCGGUGAAAUGCAUAGAUAUCACGCAGAACUCCGAUUGCGAAGGCAGCGUACCGGCGCCCAACUGACGCUGAAGCACGAAGGCGUGGGUAUCGAACAGGAUUAGAUACCCUGGUAGUCCACGCAGUAAACGAUGAAUGCUAGUUGUCCGGGGCGAUUGAGUUCUGG
rnacentral:rRNA from 1 species